AACCUACACAACCUAUAGAAUUCAGGAUCCCUUAUAUUUCAAUGGGACACAGACAAUAAGAAAGAAAGGGUUAACACUUUCAUGUACAUGCGCAAAAUGUAGGUAUAGAUAAACUCACAUUAUAAGAAAGGGGUGCAGGAAAAUUGAACUUCCUAUGGAAAACUCCAGCAGGAACCACUCCUGUAUUGAUGAUCAAUCCAUAAAAGGGCCAACAAACACCAUCUAGGAGAAUGACAGAUGACCCAAAUUCCUGCCUUUUGAUAUUCUGAAUAGAAACCUGAAUAGUUACACUGGGGCUCACGAUACAAAGUGCAUCCUCUGACGCAGAAAAACUACAGAGAAUUUCUAGAUGUUCCUUAGACUCAAUACUCUACUAUCAGUAGACACAUAUUCCUUCUCUUUCUGCCUCCUGGCUAUGGAGCAGAAAAAACAAACUCCCUACUACAGCACGGGAACAAAUCUACACAGACAGUGCCCUAGAGCCCCAACCAGGAGUAUUCUAUCUGCUAACCAAGAUCCAUAAACCUGGAAAUCCUGGGCACCCCAUCAUGUCAGGCAUUGGCACUCUUACAGCAGGAUUAUCUGGCUAUUUGGACUCUCUUCUCAGACCCUACACUACCAGCACUCCUAGCUAUCUUCAAGACACCACCGACUUCUUGACAAAACUACAAUGCAUUGAUGAUCUUCCUGAAAACACCAUCCUGGCCAUCCUGGAUGUAGAAGCUCUUUAUACUAAUAUUCCACAUGAGGAUGGACUACAAGCUGUCAGGAACAGUAUCUCUGAUGAGGCCAUGGCACACCUGGUGGCUGAGCUUUGUAACUUUGUCCUCACUCAUAACAAUUUCAAAUUUAGAGACAACUUAUACCUUCAAGUCAGCGGCACUGCUAUGGGUACCCACAUGGCCCCACAGUAUGACAAUGUUUUUAUGGCUGAUUUAGAACAACGCUUCCCCAGCUCUCGUCCCCUAGCACCCUCCUCUACUUGCACUACAUUGAUGAUGUCCUUGGACUGAGGGGAAGGAGGCCUGUAGCGAGGCAGUGGGAUACCCCACAGCCCCGCUGAGGGACGGACCUCCCGACAUCAACGUGGGCAGAGCCACUGGGUCCUGCACCCGCCCCUCAGAGGUCAUGGCGCAGACCUGGAAAUAUAAGAGCUCCCCUGCAGAGCUCAGUUGAGAACCAGCCACCGCAGAGACCUGACGUCUGCAGCUGAGCUCCCUCUUGGGAGACAGUAGCAGCCUGCAGCCAGCCUGAGCCUGCAGCCAGCCUGAGCCCGCACCCGGCCAGCUGAGCCUGGCCCGUGCCAGCUACCCCGAGGAGGACUGGCUGAGCCUGCCCCGUGCCAGCUACCCCUAAGAGAAGCUGAGCCUGCCCUUCACCACGUAUCCAGAGGAGCCAAUGGUGUUAGAGACAGCCGAGGACGCUAGCACGACCCAGAGCCAUCGGCCGGCGAACUAGAGCGAGGCUGUGGGAUACCCCGCAGCACCGCUGAGGGCUGAACCACGACAAAGCUGCACUACAAGGC